AGAAUGACUCUCGGCAACGGAUAUCUCGGCUCUUGCAUCGAUGAAGAACGUAGCGAAAUGCGAUACUUGGUGUGAAUUGCAGAAUCCCGUGAACCAUCGAGUCUUUGAACGCAAGUUGCGCCCGAAGCCAUUAGGCCGAGGGCACGCCUGCCUGGGUGUCACACAUCGUUCCC
rnacentral:rRNA from 1 species